ACGACUCUCGGCUACGGAUAUCUCGGCUCUCGCAUCGAUGAAGAACGUAGCGAAAUGCGAUACCUGGUGUGAAUUGCAGAAUCCCGCGAACCAUCGAGUCUUUGAACGCAAGUUGCGCCCGAGGCCACUCGGCCGAGGGCACGCCUGCCUGGGCGUCACGC
rnacentral:rRNA from 1 species